UCUAGAGUNUCGGAGAGGAAAGUGGAAUUCCUAGUGUAGCGGUGAAAUGCGUAGAUAUUAGGAAGAACACCAGUGGCGAAGGCGACUUUCUGGACGAAAACUGACGCUGAGGCGCGAAAGCCGGGGGAGCGAACGGGAUUAGAUACCCCGGUAGUCCUGCCGUAAACGAUGGGUACUAGGUGUAGGAGGUGUCGACCCCUUCUGUGCCGGAGUUAACGCAAUAAGUACCCCGCCUGGGGAGUACGACCGCAAGGUUGAAACUCAAAGGAAUUGACGGGGGCCCGCACAAGCGGUGGAGUAUGUGGUUUAAUUCGACGCAACGCGAAGAACCUUACCAGGUCUUGACAUUGAUGGACAGAACUAGAGAUAGUUCCUCUUCUUCGGAAGCCAGAAAACGGGUGGUGCACGGUUGUCGUCAGCUCGUGUCGUGAGAUGUUGGGUUAAGUCCCGCAACGAGCGCAACCCCUAUCUUAUGUUGCCAGCACUUCGGGUGGGAACUCAUGAGAGGCUGCCGCAGACAAUGCGGAGGAAGGCGGGGAUGACGUCAAAUCAUCAUGCCCCUUAUGACCUGGGCUACACACGUACUACAAUGGGAGUUAAUAGACGGAAGCGAAGCCGCGAGGUGGAGCAAACCCGAGAAACACUCUCUCAGUUCGGAUCGUGGGCUGCAACUCGCCUACGUGAAGUCGGAAUCGCUAGUAAUCGCAGGUCAGCAUACUGCGGUGAAUACGUUCCCGGGCCUUGUACACACCG
rnacentral:rRNA from 1 species